ACACUUUUACAAGUUCAGAAGAAAUUAACAUUUCAGAAAACAAAUUAACAUUUCAGAAAACAAAUUAACAUCACUCGAAACACUUUUACAAGUGGCAAAAUCAACCGGAAAGGGUAGGUACUAAUUCCAAGGCUGACCCGGAAGUGAUAACGGAAGCGGGCAUUUCAACCCAAGAUGGACAGCAGUUCAGUGGCGUUUUGCCCGUUUUGCGGGGCACAUAUGAGUAGAUUAACGCGGUUUUGUUUUUCUUGUGGACGGUCCUUAGAGUUUUUAAAUGGGACAGAACAGACGGAAGGUCCAGAGGCACAGGGGAUAUGUCAACAGCCGGAUAAUGCUAAACAAACAGAAAAACCUUGCCCGUCAUAUAAACAGUUCCUGGAAUACCGAAGCUCGAAGUCCAAAGAGCGUCAGUCUUUUAACUACGGGCCUAGAGGAAGACACCGGGCUAAAGAACAAAAACACGUCCAGGUUUUUGAACUCCCAAAGAUAAGUCUGAAAAUGAAAGAGAUGCACUGGGACAUCAAGCUACAAUUCAGCCAGGACAGGUAAUGUCAUUUUCAGACGUUCAUCAUAUUCUGAAAACUGUGACAUGCUGGUCAGAUUUACCGAUGAUGCAGGUGUUUAUGAGGAAGGGAUUGACACAGGUGGUCCAAGAUGAGAAUUUUUUAACUCUGCUAAUGAAGCACCUGAAAGACCGGCCAAUUUUUGAUGGACCAGAGGGACAUCGGUUCUUGGUCUAUAAUGCAAAUGCUGUUAGGGAGGAUGAAUACUUCCUGGCAGGACAGAUGAUUGCAGUUUCAGUUGUACAUGGAGGUCCGGGACCCCAUUUCCUGUCAGAAGAUCUUGUACAGUAUCUUGCUGGCCAGCCUUCAUUCAAACCAACAGUUAAUUUAAUAACUGAUGAAGAAAUAGGGAAAGCUUUGCGAGAGAUUGAGAAUGCUGCUACAUUGGAUGCUCUACAAGAAUGUAUCAUGAGACACAGCACAAUGUUGCAGACAGCAGGCUGUCUUAGACAUGUGGCUGCUGUGGACGAAAAGACAGAAAUUGUGGCCAACUACCUCCAGUGGUAUAUUUUUGACCGCAACUCAUCUGUAAUUGACAGUGUGUUCACUUUGUAGAUUCAAAGAUGGUCUUUCAGCUCUUCAGUUCCUGACUGCACUACAGCAACACCCUACUUUGCUGACCCCUGUCCUGUGCCACUGUGAAAAGCGACUGACUGCCUUUGAGCUUGAGAGACUCUUCAAACCUCAACUCAGCCCUUCAGGGAGUAAUAGGAGACUGAAAGAAAGCCAAACCUUGGCCUGCUGGGCAGACUAUCUCCUUGAUUGUGAAGAAGGCGAGGCUGCUGUGUCUGUGGAAGACAUUUUGAUGUUUGCAACUGGGCUGACAUCACUUCCCCCAUCUGGCUUGGAACCACUGCCACAAAUAGAGUUCCUGGAUGACGUUCCACUCCCAAUGGCAAAUACAUGUUCAAACUUGUUGAAAUUACCAUUUCUGGAUUCAUAUAGUGUGUUUAAGUCACAAAUGGACUUUGGAAUUCAAAAUAGUCCAGGAUUUGGUUGUCUAUAAACUAUAUAGCUAGAUAACCAUUAGAGUAGUGUUUUUCAAACCUGGUCAUCCAGGCACAAUGCCCUGCACGUUUUAGAUCAGAGAUCCUAAUCCUGAAUAACUGAUUAACAGGCUUUUUUUUUUUUUUUUAAACUGCAAUCAUCUGAAUCAGGUAUGUUAAAGCAGGAAAACUUGGACUCAAAAUGUUUUUUGUUCUUUGUUGGUAUUAUGUGCAUUUAAAGGUGCAGUUACUUUUGUUAAAAUACUUUAAAAUUGCGGUAAGCAAGCAUGUCUUUUUUUCCCCUCAGACAGCAUUUGGACAAUUGUUUUUCAUUCAUUUAUUUCCAAAUUUUAAAUACUGAAACUGUGGGUGACAAGUUGUGUACAUGUUCCACCAUCAUUACAAUAAACUUCCCUUCAAUUCA